rnacentral:rRNA from 1 species
GAGUGGCGGACGGGUGAGUAACGCGUGGGUAAUCUGCCUCAUACAGGGGGAUAACAGUUAGAAAUGGCUGCUAAUACCGCAUAAGCGCACAGUACCACAUGGUACAGUGUGAAAAACUCCGGUGGUAUGAGAUGGACCCGCGUCUGAUUAGCUAGUUGGCAGGGUAACGGCCUACCAAGGCGACGAUCAGUAGCCGACCUGAGAGGGUGAUCGGCCACAUUGGGACUGAGACACGGCCCAAACUCCUACGGGAGGCAGCAGUGGGGAAUAUUGCACAAUGGGGGAAACCCUGAUGCAGCGACGCCGCGUGAAGGAAGACGUAUUUCGGUAUGUAAACUUCUAUCAGCAAGGAAGAUGAUGACGGUACUUGACUAAGAAGCCCCGGCUAACUACGUGCCAGCAGCCGCGGUAAUACGUAGGGGGCAAGCGUUAUCCGGAUUUACUGGGUGUAAAGGGAGCGUAGGCGGCCAUGCAAGUCAGAAGUGAAAGCCCGGGGCUCAACCCCGGGACUGCUUUUGAAACUGUAAGGCUAGAUCGCCGGAGAGGUA